rnacentral:rRNA from 1 species
GUGAGUCAUCGAAUCUUUGAACGCAUCUUGCGCUCCUUGGUAUUCCGAGGAGCAUGCCUGUUUGAGUGUCAUUUAACUUCUCAACCACACACGUCUCAUGAUUGUUGUGUGGCUUGGAUGUGGGGGGUUGUUUGCAGGCUUUCUGUGAAUGAAGGUCGGCUCCCCUGAAAUGUAUUAGUGGUAUCUGAGGCUACUACUAUAGGUGUGAUAAAUUAUCUAUGCCUUUGGUAUGCCACAUGAACAGAUUACACUGCUUCUAACAAAAAAACGAAUGUUGAUAAAUUUGACCUCAAAUCAGGUAGGACUACCCGCUGAACUUAAGCAUAUCAAUAAGCGGAGG